GUUCCUGGUUAAAGAAGUCUAGUUUCCAGAUUCCUUGGUAGCUCUUGGUAGCUGUCCGCUGAAUUGGCUUCAGCUUCUCAAUGUCCUUUGGAAAGUGCUGGGCUAGAACUGGAUACGGGAUUUCAAUGUAAUAACUCAUGGAUGGCCCUCUCUCAAACUCCCUUAAGAACCAGCCUUAAAGCAAUGGGCUUGGGUACUGAUCACAAACAAGACCCAACAGAUAUCAAGCAUCCACCGUCACCACCAAAGAAAAGGUGCUUCUCCUGAAUUGCAGCAAGAGCAGUCAAGCAACUCACUGUGGGCGAGUUCAGGCUAGAAGAAAUCAUCCUCAGGGCCUCGUUGACAACAGUGGGAGUCGGUGAAAUGCAAUCUGAGAAAGACAAGUUGUGGAGCAGAUUGUGGCUCCAGCAAGACGGGUUUAGGGAGUGCUGGGCCUUAGCCAAGGAGGCGCUUGCAACACACAACUCUUGGAGACAAAGCAAAAGUGGACUUGCCUGGAUAAUGGCUUGGCCACUGGCAGAGGCUUCCUGUGCUGCUUCUCCAUCCAUAUCAUGAAAGAGCUGAUCCCAGGCCUAGGGUGGAAAGUGUCCUCUAUUUGUCAUCACAGAUUGCAAAACACACAGUAAUUGAUAUCUUUUUAAAUGUAUUUCUGCAGCUGAUGAACAGUCCAUCAGUAGUAGAGUAACACACCAGAUGGUGAGACAUCCAGAAGCACUAGAGUCAAGUUCACUACUUUUUGGAUGACCAAAGACUGAGAACUGAAAAGUGUCUUUUACCAUUCAAUUAAACAUGUACAAGCAGAGCAUAAGUGGGGGCCAAUGGAACUCCUACUACUGAUCUGUCACAGAUCUGACAGACAAACCUGCAAACCUGUUCUUAUCUUUUGCUUCCCUAAGUGCUCCAUGAAUAUUUUAACACAGAACCAAGAUAAAAGAACAGGCCAUGCUGGUUUGGAUCCCACACAGUGCCCAAAGCACAAGAAUGAUGUGGUGGUGAUGGGGAGAAAUAAUGUAACCGAACAGUGAUGGCUGCCUCACUUGCAGAAGGUAGAGGGGUUUUCUUCAAGUUGAGCUCAAGCGCUGGUGGCUUCAUGGACACAUUCCAGGCUGCAAAGUGUCCUUCUAGGAUGCCUUUUUCAGAUUUCCAGGCUAAUCUCCAACCCUGGGACUCUCUGGAGAACAAGCAGUGGUCAGGCUAAAUUCUGCUUAGUUUCAGAGUCCAGAGUAGAAUAUACUGUAGAAGAACAUUAAUUUAUGAAGCAAUAACUCUGAACUUUAAACCAACCAACCAACCUUUGGUCAUUUAAUUAUGCUGUAUCUUUAAAGUGAGAUGCAUGCUCAACACUAGCUUCUGCCCCUGAAAUUGGGACAUAAACAGCUGUCUUCCUCCAAAGGGCAUAACUCCAGGCUAGGAAUUGUGCCACCAGUCAUCAUGGAAUCCUAGAGUUGAAAGGAGCCCCUAAGUCCAGCCCUAUGUUCAGUGCAGAAACGCAAAUGAAAGGCUGGCACCCAAUGAAGGGGACCAUCCCUUCUCUGAACAACUGGUCCCCCUCCCAAACUGCUCUUACUGUUAGGAAGAUUUUUCAAACAUCCAGUUGGAAUCUGCCUUCUGCUAAAUUAUCCUACAAACUAAGCUAGCUAACACCUCAGGAAACAGAAAUAAAAAUCACAAUGAUCUUAAUUGAUUAGAAAACUAGGCAGAGAAUAACAAUAAAAUUUAAGAGAGUUCAA